GGCAGGGACCGACAGGGACCCGCAGGCAGCGCCGGAGCUCAGCUGAAUGCGGAUGGAGCCCGAAGGCACCGGGGCCCCGGGCUGAGCACCAGGGCUGGGUGCUGCCGGCCCGGCUCGGGGCACCCCGGGGCACCCCGCACCCCGAGCGCCUGCCCCGGGGGCGGGCAGGAGCCUCGCGAAGGGAAGUGUCAUUUGUACAAAUUGCCAGUCCGUGCCAGCUUGGGAGAGACCUUAGAAGGGAAACCUGGAGCCUUCCCUGCUUUUCAUGUGAGCGGAUGCCCCUUUUAUUUCUGAGCAAGGAGUAAGUGGAGAAAAAAGGAGCCCCUGUCAGCCUCUCAGAGACAAAUUGCUUCCUGCAGCCAGAGGUGGCUCAGCUCUAACAAUCACCCACUGCCAGAGAAUGAUUUACUGGGCCAACGUGUGAAAAGUGCACGGGACUCCGCUGCUCAGGCGGCAGAAAAUACCUUCCUGCCUAAAUGAAAUGACCCAACCGACGCACAGGGUUAAAGAUAUAUGUGGUGCUCCUGUUCCCUGC